AAGUCCAUCAUUGUCACAAGAUCAGUUGAGAGUCAGUGUACAAAAGCAAAUAGCUACAAUCCUCCACAGAGCAUUAUACAUUUCGCACGUUCUCUGCACCAGGGAAGAGCUCCUCAUUGUGUUGGCGUUUAAUGUCCCGGUGGAACUGACUUAUCGGAGAAGAGAUAAGCGCACAACGCCCAAGAGGGUAGACCUCAGGCAUGAAUUUGAAUGGGCGUGUUGAUGAGCCUGUGAUGGGACGGGGGAAUGGACAGAGGGACCAUCACACACCUUUUCCUCAUCACAGUUGUCUGGAGACCCAGGAGGCAGAAGCACAGUAGAGAGAAAGUCAACUGAUGAGCAUCACAAGAUGGGGUGCGGGAGCCUUGGAGAAGAGGGAUCUACAACAUAGGAGCUCUGACAGACGGGCAUGGAAAUGAUAUUUCUUAAUAUAUUUAUUAAAUACCAUAUUCAAAUCUCAAUUCACAUGUCAUGACAUUAUUGUUAAGACUUUCCCUGCCACCUCCAGAGAACUGAAAACAUAUUUAUGGUUUCACUCCUUUCAUUGUAUAGGUGAGGAUCAAGUAACAGCUGGAAAUGUUAUAAAAAUGAAAGACUGGACUUUGUACAGUGACUGUUAAUGUCGUUUUGUGUAUUUCCUAUGUUGCAAGCAGUGGCUUUUGUCUUCCUACACAUCUUUCGUUAUUCUAAAUACAUAAUGACACUGCCUCUCUAAUUUGUCACUUGUCAUUGAUCUGUAAGGAAAUGUAAGACUGAGUGAGAGAGAGUGAGCAUAUGGCAUGGCUAUCAAAGAGCCAAAGGCUGGGUACCUCUCUGUUGUCCCUCAUAUGCCUCUCAAAGUUCGACAGCAUGGUCUGAUAUGCAGGAUGAAAGGGUUUGGUGUUGGACUUUUAGAUACUCCCCUCCCAAACAUAGCCCCCACCCCCCAUAACCUUUUAAAUCUUAGCCCAGAUCUCUUUUGUAAAUAAUUAUCCAUCAUUUACAGGACUGCACUGAAAAAAAAAUACCUUGUGUGUUAAAGUGAUGAAAACAUUGAAAACCAGGGACGUUAAGCUGAACUGUGGCUAGUUAUCAUUUUAGGCCUGCUUUCCCACUAUACCAUAUUCAUGGACAUAAUGACCUUUAUACUGGAAUUUACCUGCAAUUCCCAGCAGAAAACAGUGGCAGCCUUACCUGUUACUGUACUGGUCGGUUUUGCCAUAUACUUGGGGAAAUGUGACAAUACAAGGUGCUUUCUUCAGCAAGGACUCCACUGGGAUUCCCACAUCUGAGAUCAGUUUGUUAUUGACUCUACUGUGUGAUUCAUGGGCCCUGGGUUUCACUUUCACUUUACAUCUUCUGCUUUUUCUGUGCUACCCAUAUCAGGGGAAAUCCCAGGAGGAAAGUUAAAGAGAUUCUAGUGAAAAUUUUGAUAAUCCUUUAACAGUGUACAAGGAAUGCAAUGUGGACAUUUCAUAAUCUCUGUAAAUGGGUUUCUGUUCUAUUACAUCUGAAUGGCGUGUUUUCCCUUUUAUUUGUCUGAUGCAUCAUGAGACAACCACACCUAAAGUUGUGGGUGGACGUGUCAGCUAUGAGCCAAACCAAGUUGCUGACAGACCCUGACAGGAACUUGACGCAGCCAUGUUGCCACUGCCGUUUGAUGGAUGUCACAGUAAAGGGACUCAUUCCCUCCCUGAGCAGGUCAGCGUUCUUGGAUUUAAUCCUGCAGUCUUCGGCAGCCUGUGCAGUCUCUCACUGUGUCACCAGCGACUCUCGGUUUCAGCCAGAUUCUUCCUACCAUCUCAGCUGCAUUCCUCUUCCUCCUCUCUCCCACCUACAUAACAUGGGAUUUGAGGAGGCGCAGAAGUGUGCUGCAUAUGGAAGGAUGAAAGGAGGAAUGAUUAUUUUUAACCU